rnacentral:tRNA from 1 species
GGAGGAUAAGCGAAUUGGCCAGCGGACUGAUUCGAAAUCAGUUGCCCCAUUGGGGUUGUGGGUUCGAGUCCCAUGUCCUCCG